ensembl:lncRNA
CAGAAAACUUAGGUUGAUACCCAAGAGACAGCGGUGGUAGAUCUUUUAGUGAAGGAAGGAGGGAGUGGAGGAGUGUUAUAUGGGAGGGAACAUCCACGUCUGCACUCAAGACCUACCAGUCUUGAGAGGUUUCUGGGUGUGGUGGAUUGAAACUUAUACAGUAGGCACAAGAAAUGUUUUCUGACGAUUUGCCAAAUUUCACAUGGAGGUAGAUGCACAUGCUUCACUCCUUUAGACAGCAUUCAAAAAGCACUGAAGGAAUGUGGCAGUCCAAGUCCCUACCAUAUCUGUGCUUGCUUACUUCCAUUCGAUGAACGUUAUUCUCAUUCUUCGCAACAGUGAAGAGCAAGAAAGCAUACACCACUUCUCAGUCACCCAAAGGCAUUUUUAGAAUUAAACAAAAGCAAGGGGCAAAAGCAUUUGCAGUUUUCCUGUUGCAACUCAGACUCGUGUUCACAAGACUUUACCAGAUUCACCACAUUUUUGAGGAGCUGUUACCUAAAAUGAGUCUAACCAGGAUCCUUCUUCUGCACCAUGGCAAGCACAUCAGACCCCAACUGACUCUUUGCUGAAUUUUGUCUCAUUGGUGUGCAAAGACCUCUGUAAAGUGUCAAGGGCUAAUUCUGCAAUCCUGGUGACCCCAGGACAAGCAAACCACACCAAAAUUGAAAUAGGUCCUCUGCACCUUGAAGGGACUGCCCCAAUGGAGGUGACCCAGGUAAUCAUCCACUGCUGCCAGUCCACUUGUUAGGAGUGAGUGUGAUCAGGGUUGUGGAGUGUUACUGGGACGGGUUUGGGGAGGGACUGUCACAGGAUGAGGUAGUUCUGGAUCCUAACACACGUUUCUGAGAGCACAUGGGACCUUUCCAUCACGUCAGAAUUAGCUUUUGUAUAAACAGUUCUGUACUUGAAGAGACCAGAGGGUGUUAUGUACUUCCUUCCCUUGCUCCCAAGAAGAUACAAACCUCACAUAAAAUCUGGGCUAAGAUGUUUUCGGCCUUAAAAUCAGUAAAAACUGUGCUGAGUGAUGAGACAGCAAACCCCUUGUGUUCUGGGAAAUGACUGCAUGAGGUCCUUGGUACUAAACUAUCCAGACUGCCCUCUGUCUAACAAACUCUUAUCUUUGCAGCUACUGGAUAUUUAAUGAAACUCCGGUCUUUAUAUAUUUGCUUUAAUUCAUUCUUUUUGCAUGUGACGCUGUGUGUUAGAGAGCUACCCUUACUAGUUUUCCCAGUACAUUUUUGAUGGCUAUGUUGCUGUAUGUCCCGUGGUGGGGCCAUCCAGAACUGGGGGUUGAAACACCACCCUCCACCGUACCUUCCUAUGCCCUUUGGUGCCCUUCCUCAGUUGUGCCGGGAGUUGGGGGCCAGAAAGGAUACAGUGACCACGGUGGUGGUCAGCAGGUACCUCUGAUCCUUGUACAGUCUUUGUUCCUGUUCCGAUCUGAGUAAGUUCAGCUCUCCUUAUGCAAUCAGUCAGCCCGGAGGCAGCACGGUGUGGAUCACGACCUGUGUCACAAAACUUCACUCAUUUUCCUCAAGCCCAAGCAGUGUAGGGCUUCUUUAAUUUUUUUUUAUAUCAGAAGCCUGCAGCCUGAUGAUUCAUCAGCACGAAGUUUGAUGACUCCAAGCCUCCAGUGUUGUUUUCUCUUCUAAAGUUACAGUGACUGAUUAUGGUAUCCAUGUGGCAAGCUAAAGAGUAAAUUUCUAAAAAGAUGGUGCACUGGAGCUGGAAGACUCUUCUCCAGCCUCACGUUGAGUAAGGAAGCAUAGGUCUGGUGUGUCAUCCACCUUUAAUAUAAUCAGAUGUCCCCUUGGAGACUAUGAGUACCCACAGAUUACAUGCCAUGCAGUACGUUCCUGCAGAAGGAUAUGAGUACGAGACCCUUUUGAGGCUUUCUUGGCAGAUGAUGUCAGCAUUUUCCUGUCCUGUCCACAGAGAAGUGCUCAGUGUAACCAAAUAUCAGCCCUUUUCCCAGCACCCGGGAUGAGCUGUAGUGCAUCGCAGCUACACCAUCCUCUGGCUUGGAGCAAUCUAGAUGAUGGUACAACUUGAUGUGUCCCUUACACCAGCCUAUGAGAAAAGGGCUGUAUGUAAGUCUGUUCUGCCCCAGGCAGGAAUCUGCAGAGGUAAAGCAGGGAAUGACAGCAGCAUACCAAAGUUGGCAAAACAAACAAACAAACAAACCCCCCCAAAAACCAAAACAAAACAAAACAAACAAAACAAAACAAAACAAAACAAAAAACAACAACAAAAAAAAACCCAAGCAUGUCUUAGCUUUCCCUCCAGCUUAAAAGAUAGGUCUCAGAGGGCCAUAAGCAGAAAUUCAGAGUACCCAGGAUUGGUACAUAUAAAAGCAGCUAUGGACAACCAAAAAGCAAAGAGAGAGCAAAGAGUAACAUUCCUUUCCUGCAAGUGCAAAGCUAAUACUUCCUAUCCUGUUUAAUAGCUAUGCUUAAUUUACUUUGUUUUCCACUUGGCUGUGAAAGCACUGCUGUAAGACGACGGACUACAUUUAAAUAUCUGUACUUAAUUUCAUUCUUCCCCUUCCAAUUAAAGUUUCAGUGGAGAUAAAUUUCUGAUGGAUAGGUUUUAUGGGCAUUGACUAUCUGCAUCUGGUAUAAUUUAUUGCUGGAUACUGUCUUAAAGGUAUACAUGCUAACCAAGGAAAGCUAAGGUACAGACCUGGCUUUAUUUAGUAGCUUGAACUUGAGUUUCACUGAGUGGUUAGUAGAGAAAAUGUUACAUUGUGAGGUUUUUUUCCCCUCCACCUAUAAUAUUUUACUUUGAUUAAAGCUGCACUAAGGUAAAAUUGCGCAUCUCACGCAAAAAGCAAUUUACCUCUGCUCUUAUUGAAGUUAACCAUACUUAUUUGUCCUAGCAUAAUGCAUUUUUUCCAGCUGCAUUCUAGCUGCAGUGCUAUAUCAUACGAGUCAAGCUAGAUUUAAUCAGAUUUAGUUUAUGUUGUGAAUUUUAAGAUGUUCGUUCAAUUAGUUGGAAUAAAAGUAGAACAUUUGGAAGAAAGAUUAAGGUUGAAAAAUGCUGGUGUUGAGCUGGGCAUUCAGUGCUCCUCCUGCACCUCUCUCACCCUGAGGCAUACCUCAGGCUUGAAAAGGCUCCUGCUUUUGUGUUUCUCUUCUUUAUGUUUCUACAGCUCCCGAUGACAUUCACAGGAUGGGGAUGGCUACUGUCAUUUUAUCAGGUUGCUGCACCCAGGUAGAUGUAAGACCUCGUGUACUUUUUCUGGGCACUAAUGGAAAAUAGAGGGAUUAUGUUUGAGUUUGGGCUUCCUCGUAAUAAUUACUCCAGUCUUAUCAGCACCCCGUGACUGCUUUCCCUGGUUGCUUUCCUACUACUCUCCUCGUUGACACCUGGUGGCAAAGUCGUCACUGCCAUCUGUCUCACUGAGCUCUUUGGAGCAAAGCAAACUUGUGCUGGCAUUUUGGCCUGGGGUGUGCAGCACAGGAACACCAAGAAGUUCCGAGGGACACGAAGAAGGUUGGUCAGCCCCUAACACGUAACUUCACUCACAAGUCUCUGCUCCCACCUGGAGGGAAAGCAGCUGAAGGAAGGGGUUAAAGCAGAGGGAGUGCUUUUCCUUCAGUCUGUUCAUAUAACCACUAUGUGAGGAGACAACAGCGAGGGACUCAGCAGGAUCCAAAGUCUUUUAAAUAUUUCUAUGACUAAUAAAGAUAUGCUUACCCAUAUGAUCAUGGCUGGUUAUAAAACAUAAAAUCCCAGUUUUUACAACAACCCCCACCCUGCUGGUCCUGUAAAUUUCUUGAGGUAGGAAAGAGACACCCCUGCUGCUACUAUUUACUAUUUCUUCAGCUGUCACUGAAACUAGACGUAUUCCUCCAAAGUGGCUUUGCAGAGAAGAUGCUGCCCAGAGAAGAGAGCUGGCUGGACAGGCUGCUGCCAUGUCCCCUCAGGACCGCGAGAUCACCUCCACCUUCGCAGAAGUGACAGAAGAGAAUGGGGCACUCACUCCUCACCCACAUUGGUACUUAGCAUAGCUUAACUGUUGUGGUCCUCUUGGACCUGGGAUGCGUUCAGAUGCAUGAUGUGGAUCAGUGUCCCUUGGAAAUGCCUGUAAGCUUGGGAACACCUCUGCAGAGCUUGAGGGCCUUUUUCCUAGGCUUCUUGCAUUUUGCUCCAAGAUAGAUCUGCAAACAGCUCUGCAUCUGUGUUUCAGGAGCCAAGUGCUGCUCACUGGAAAUGAAGAUCUCUGUGAGAUGCUCAUGGAAAUGGCCCAGGAGGCAAGCUGCAUUUUUGAGAGGGUCACAAGUACGUUAAAUGGUUGAUUUAGGUUCAGGUUGAGCAAAGAAGGCCUUACUAGUUUUCAGUGACCCUUUUUGCAUGCAAGAAAGAAAUACAAACUCCUCUUCUGUAUUAAUUAAGUCCUGCGGUGCCAUACGUCCACUGCUACAGCUAUUGCUUUGGGCUUAGAGAGAUUCACAAAAGCUGCACAGGAGAGGUUUGGGAGGCAGUGGUAGAGGAGAUUUAGCAUACUACAAGGGGUAAAUUUCCCAUGGGGAAUCAAGCCUCCUGGUCUCACCAGCCCUAGAAACUCCUGGAAUCCUGGAGGAAGGCCAGCAUCUUGCCUCGGUGACAUCUCAGCAUUCAGCCUGAGUGCCAGCAGUGCUCUCCUGCACUGGCAGCAUACAGAGCUCCUUCUGCUUUAUAGUUGUACCUGAUAGUAUGUGUGCCUGUUGCUUGCUUGUGCACAUUUUCAUGCUCAGCUCACAGCUACCCAGUGCCACAAGCUGACACUGCCCAUGGUUACAUGGAAUUUCAAUAGGAAUGGCAACACAGCACAGAGGAGAAAAGCAGGCCGUAAGAGUUAUUUCAAGCAGAUGUUGGUUAUAGCUGCUGGUAGCAAAAGUAAGUCAUCAAAAGCAAAUACAUAUAUAUAUCUUUAGAGAAAUAAACAACAUCUGCACCUGACAAGGGUUUGGUAAUUUCUCAGCAGUUCCCUAAGCAGAAUAAGAGCUUUAUGGACAGAAGGUUUUGCAUAAAGCAGUUGUUGUUUACACCUGAAACUGGUGUACAAAUAAAGCUGUCACUCUUUGCUGCCAGUCCUCCUUCACUCUGAGCCAAACGAGCCUGUAGAGCUGUACAACAGCAUUCCCUGCAAUUGUUCCACUCAGGUGUAGCUUUUUAUACUCAUUUGUCAGCAGUUGUCCAGGUCAACUCCCACGCUGAGCCACAUUUAAUCCAACAAAGAAAUAUGUUAAGAAAAGCAAGGAGGGGAUUAUCCAGAAAGAGGCACUUUGGCUUUGUCCUAACCUGCCUUGGGUGGAAAAGAGAGAGCAUGAAGCUUGUUUUCUGCUUUGAAUUGCCUUCCAGGGGAGUUCAGCUUUUUCCAUUGACUUCAGCCAUGGUAGCUGCAAGUUGGCUCUUGGUCUGGUAGAACCACCUGGCUGUGGCUGUCAUCUCCAGUUGCAUUACUUCAUCUUUCUCAUUAAGCAGCAAUCAAGUAGAAGACGUCUCCACCAGGAGAAUGGGAUGAGAAAGUGACAUGCCAAUGGAGGGGACAUGACAAGGGGACGAAGGGAUGAAAGCCGUGCAGAUGUUGAUGCUGGCUGGGAGCUCACAGGAGCUGGAAGAAGGGUGAGAAGAGAGAAAAACAUGAGAGAGGCCAGACAGAUGCAGGCUGGAAUGACUUGAGGAAGGGAAUGAAAAGCAGAAAGGAAAGUGGUGGUUGUAGGAAGUAUCAUUAUGCUGUGCUGCAUAAUUGUAAUGCACUGUUGUCAUUGCUACUCUUCAAAAAUCACAUUCUAGACCUCAGAAACUCUCAAACUUAGCUUAAAUACCUAGAGACUGCUUAAAAACAAUACCUUCGACCCUUUUUCUUUUUGCUUCUCAUUAUAAAAUUAGAAUUCUAGUCAUGUCUUUGGGCUUUUUUUUUCUAGAAAUUAACAUUUGAGAAAACAAUUCUCAGCGAACUGUAUGACUCAGAGAACUCAGGCUUUAGGGAAAAAUCACACAUCACAAACUUUACCAAAAAAUAGAAAGCAUUAGAAAGUGAGGAUUGUGUUUUCUCUGGAGGUGCCCCUUGAGGUUCCUGGUAGCCUGUCUUUCACAGAGAGCUUUGAUUUUGCAAAAGAGUACAAAAGCAGGAAAGACAGAAGACAUAUUUCCUCUUGGAUAUCUUUUGUGAUUUCAUGAGAUGUUGUGAUUUAAUCCUUGCUAGAAAUGGGACUAGAUGGUUUCCCUUUCUGAAGAAUGUGUGGACACUUCCUAUGCAAGCACUCAGAACUGUCUAUAUCUUUCAGAGAGGAGGGAAGGUACAACUCUAGUCCAUGCUAAGGUGGCUUAUAGAGAAAGAUCCUGGAAUCAGUGCAGGUUUUGUUUAAUCCAAAGAUUAACUUCAUCUUCACAGCCUGGACAUGGACAUGGCAGUCAACUGAAGGGCCGCUAGGGUUCUCUGGGCCUAGAGGUGUGGUAUGUAGCUGCACCACUUGCAGGGAGCCAGGUCAGUGGCAGAAGGGUAAGGGCAAAUCUCUUACACUCCAGAAACACUGUUGCUACCAUCUUGUGGCACACAGACUCCAAAUGUGGGGAUGAAGGACAGAGCACAGGAG